CCACAAGGGCGCCGCUACGGUUCCGGCCUGCAUGCCGGAUCAAAAGGGAACACCGGUGCCAAUCCGGGGCUGCCCCCGCAACUGUAAGCGGAGAGCGAUGGCCGAUCAUGCCACUGGAGCGAUCCGGGAAGGCCGGCCAAGGCAUCGACCCGCAAGCCAGGAGACCUGCCGCAGCACUCACCCAUUU
rnacentral:ncRNA from 2 species